GAUGAACGCUAGCGGGAGGCUUAACACAUGCAAGUCGAGGGGCAUCACGAGGUAGCAAUACUUUGGUGGCGACCGGCGCACGGGUGAGUAACGCGUAUGUAACCUACCCUGUACAGGGGGAUAGCCCGGAGAAAUUCGGAUUAAUACCCCAUAAAGAUAUUUUGAGGCAUCUUAGAAUAUUUAAAGUUUCGACGGUACGGGAUGGGCAUGCGUAACAUUAGCUAGUUGGUAAGGUAACGGCUUACCAAGGCGACGAUGUUUAGGGGUCCUGAGAGGGUGAUCCCCCACACUGGUACUGAGACACGGACCAGACUCCUACGGGAGGCAGCAGUGAGGAAUAUUGGUCAAUGGGCGUAAGCCUGAACCAGCCAUCCCGCGUGAAGGAAGAAGGCGCUAUGCGUUGUAAACUUCUUUUCCGGAGGAAUAAAAUUUCGUACGUGUACGGAACUGAAGGUACUCCGGGAAUAAGCAUCGGCUAACUCCGUG
rnacentral:rRNA from 1 species